GACGAACGCUGGCGGCGUGCCUAAUACAUGCAAGUCGAACGCACAGUUUAUACCGUAGCUUGCUGCACCAUAGACUGUGGGUUGCGAACGGGUGAGUAACGCGUAGGUAACCUGCCUGGUAGCGGGGGAUAACUAUUGGUAACGCUAGCUAAUACCGCAUGCUAUUCAUUAUUGCAUGAUAAUUUAUUGAAAGAUGCAAUUGCAUCACUACCAGAUGGACCUGCGUUGUAUUAGCUAGUAGGUGAGGUUACGGCUCACCUAGGCGACGAUACAUCGCCGACCUGAGAGGGUGAGCGGCCACCCUGGGACGGUGACACGGCACAGAGGCCCACGGGAGGGAGCCGGAGGGCAACUGCGGGAAGGGACGAAAGACUGUGCGAGCAACGCGGCGUGAGGGAGGAAGGUUGUCGGAUCGGAAAGCUCGGUCGUAAGAGUAGAACGGGCGUGAGAGUGGAAAGUUCACACUGUGACGGUAAUUUAUCAGAAAGGGACGGCUAACUACGUG
rnacentral:rRNA from 1 species